CAAUAGCGUAUAUUAAAGUUGUUGCGGUUAAAAAGCUCGUAGUUGGAUUUCUGCCGAGGACGACCGGUCCGCCCUCUGGGUGUGUAUCUGGUUUGGCCUGGGCAUCUUCUUGGAGAACGUAGCUGCACUUGACUGUGUGGUGCGGUGUCCAGGACUUUUACUUUGAGGAAAUUAGAGUGUUUCAAGCAGGCACACGCCUUGAAUACAUUAGCAUGGAAUAAUAAGAUAGGACCUCGGUUCUAUUUUGUUGGUUUCUAGAGCUGAGGUAAUGAUUAAUAGGGAUAGUUGGGGGCAUUCGUAUUUAACUGUCAGAGGUGAAAUUCUUGGAUUUAUGGAAGACGAACUACUGCGAAAGCAUUUACCAAGGAUGUUUUCAUUAA
rnacentral:rRNA from 1 species